ACUUGGAUAGCUUAAAUUUUAAAGCUUAAUAUUGAAGCUAUUAUGAUAAGAACUAACUCUUUCCAGGUG
rnacentral:tRNA from 1 species